rnacentral:lncRNA from 1 species
UAAAAUUCACAUAUAUCACAUAGAUCCAUAUAUAUCACACAAAUCCACAUAUAUAACACACAUAAACCAUAACAAAGGAGUCCAACAAGUCCAUCAUACAACAAAUCGUACUAAUCAAGCAUCCAACAUGAAACAUCCAAUAUGGUGUACAAAACCAACAUGCAUCAUCAAUCAGGAACUGCACCAUGCAUCAUGCAUCAUCUAUCAGCACGACGUACGUUGUCUCAUCUCAAGAAAACUAAACCCAAACGUGCGUGCGUUCCUUUGCACAAAACUGUGCUCAUCGUCUAUCUAACAAACAGAUAAAGAAACAUCAAGUGAUCCAUCGUAUCAUCAGAAAGAUCAUAUCAUCCUCUCCUGGCAUGCUUUCACGCAGCAAUUCAAGAUACACUCAUUAAUCCUCUACCCUGACGGCUGCCCGCAGACGACUUGAUCUUCCUUAAUUCGCACCACCAUUGUCAGACCCGUCCCGGCUGCCAAACCUUCAAUCACCACAGCAGAUGAAUACCAGACCACAUGUUAGUAGUUAACAACAAUAGGACUUUAGCCCAUUUAUUUGAUUUUUGACAAGAUAAGAUCGAUCGAGCACAAAUGGGUGAAUUUCUUAAAUUCUAACACUACCACAAAACUGAAUACCCUUGAGGGUCAAAAACCCUCAAGGAAACCCCUAAAACCGCCAAGAAAAUCAAUUUUGGCGGCUAGCACUCAAGGAAUGGCCGCCAAGAGUAGAGAGACAAGGAAAGUGUCGGCCGCCACAAAUCAUUUUCUUGAGAGUUAAACCGUCAAGAAAAUAAAUCAGUGGUCAGAUUUUUAGCAUCGUCAAGAAAAUAUAACGACACCCAAGGAUAUAGGUUUCCUUGAGUGCCAAUGACACUCAAGAAAAUGUAAGAACACCCAAGGAUAUAGGUUUCCUUGAGUGCCGAUGGUACCCAAUAAAAUGUAAAAACACCCAAAGAUAGAUAUUUUCUUGAGUGCCGAUAACCCUCAAGGAUAUGCAUGGAAAAAAAAGAAAAACAAUCUCAUAUUUGUUAUAGCUGAGAUUCAAACUCAUGACGUGAGAUUCCAAGUGAAACUAACUUACCACUACACCACUUAGUCUUUUGUGACCAAGUGAAUGUUUCUUUCUUUUUGUUUUCACUUUAGCGGAUCUUGUAAUAAAUAUUUGAGAACCUAAAUGAUUUCAAAUGAAAAAAGUUUGAAUUAUAAAGUUUUGUAUCUCAUCGAGUACUAUAACUUUGGUUUAGGUUGUAUCUCUAUCUGAGGUCAUUUAAAAGAUUCAAAAAAAUUAAAGUUCAAAAUUCUAAUAAUUUAAAACAUAUUUUAUGGACCUCAAAUAAUUUCAAAUGAAAAUUUUUUCAUCAACUAAGAAGUUGUAUAUCUCUUCAGGCUCUAUAACUUUGAUAUAAACUUUGCCUCCAUACGAUAUUAGUAUGUUACAUUUUAGCUUUAAAAUAAGCAGGCAUCUCAAGCUAAGUGUUAGUAUAUGCAUUCUCUAAUGCAUAACAACACAAAAUUAUAACUUUUAUUGGAUUAAUUUACUAACAACAAAUAUAUAUCAUUUUCCAAACAUGUCAAAGGAGCAUUUAUGUCUAUAAAAUGCAAUAUCUAACUAACAAGAAUGCAAUGAGUUCACUAUAUCGGUGGUUAAGAGAAAUAUGACUAUAAACUGUUUUUUUCCUUGGCAGCUACAAUAAUUUACUUGAGGGUUUGCACCUAAAGAAACUAGAAUUUCCUUGGCGGUUUCUAGUUAUACCCAAGGAAAUGUAAUUACCUUUAGUGGUUUAUAAUAACACUCAAGGAAAUAUAGAAUUACCUUGGCGGUUUCAACUAGCACUCAAGGAAAUACAGAUUUAACUUGGCGGUUUGGUUUAGCACUCAAGAAUAUGCAUUUUCUUGGGUGUUUUAUACAACCCUCAAGGUAAUUGUAUAUCCUUGGGGGUUUAAUUUCGCCCCUCAAGGAAAUUGCUGGCCCUCAAGGAUACUCAGUUUUCUGGUAGUGUAAGGCCAAGACUAAUAAGACACUAUAUGUUUCUAAUUGAAUCAUCAUGCAACUAUACUAAUUGCCUACAACAUUGUUAUCCUUGAUUUUUACUUUCAAGUUCCCCAAUUUGCUGCAAAGAAUUAGCCUAAGACUUGCGGGGAAAUAUUAAAAUAGCAUCUUAAAGUUAAUGUGACCAUAUUUAAAGAUAUUUCAAAGAGAAAUUUACUAUAAAACAAAAAAUACAAAUCAUGAAUGCUUCUUGGCAAUUAUCUCAAAAUUCUUUAAGCUAAGUGACACAUCUUAAUAUUUCCCAUGCUAAUGCUACAGUGAUAUUUGGCAGUACAAAUCAAGCAAAAUAAAAAAUGAUACAAAGUUCAAUUAAUAUGUUCACACAACAGUCAAAGAGUUGGAACCACAAUUGAGCAAACCCUCCAUCGCAAUUUCCUGACCAAGCAUAGUAAAGAGUCAAAAGAAUGUUCGUGACACAAUAAAGUAGGCAAAAACAUAUAAUUAAGCAGGCAAAAACAUUGUGCGAUGAUAUGUAUUGUAAGUAUGUAUAUACCUAUUGCUACUUUCAAAAUAAUUAAUUAAACAAGUGAUGUUUCAGGACAGUGAGCCACUCUGCAGCUGGCCGAGUUGAGAUAAAAUGUAAGUAUGUAUAUACCUAUUGCUACUUUCAAACCAUCAUAUAUCAGUUAGUUCCAAUUUUUAGCUACAGGACAGUGAGUUGAGAUAAAAUGUAAGCAACCGACCCAAGAAUCUAAAGCAAAUCAACCUAAAAUCAAAUUAACAGAGUACCUCGAAUUAUAUUAUCUGUUAAAAUUUUAAACUUAAGCACUAAUAUAUGAUGUUGAAGGUGCCAAACUUCUAGACACAGCGCACCACCAGAAAAAUACCAGUACGCUUAACGGAAAUCACAGAAGCGCAUAGAUAGAGGACCUAAGGUGAAAACCCCAGCAUAUACUUGGGCCAAUGCUUACUACAGAACACUACAAGUCAACAUCCGCGCUUAAGGACCGGAGCAAAUCUUAACAAGACGCUCCUCAACUAGAGAUCUAUAAGUCAACAAGCAGUUCAAGACAUGUUCAAUAUGGUUUAAGGGAUUAAUUCAAUUCCCAAUAUCCGAACCCAGCACAGAGAAGUAGCAUAUCAUCCGAAAGCUUUGUUCGCUGAGAGAAAAACACAUCUCAAGCGAACAUGCUAACGGAGGCCCGAGGUCGGACCGUUCGAGCGCCCUGAAGCCGCGAGCGCCGGAUCAGGAGUCGGGGUGGGGCCGCGCCACCACAGAGGACCCGCGAGGCCGAGCCUCGCGUGCGCCCGCAAGGCCGCCCCGCCGCAGAGGCUCGCCGAGCCGCGCACAGGCCUACGGACCGCCGCCUGGGCGAGCGCUCCCCGUCCCCGCACGCCGACCGGACGCGCGAGCCGCGCGCAGGCUGCGGGCCGCCACCGCUUGCCGCAGUUGCCGGCCGGCCGGCUUACGCUGUUACACAUGCGCGCCCCACCCGAGGCCGCUGAUGUGCCGCGCAGGUCUCCUGGCCGGCAGCUGCGUGGUGCUCCUCCAUUCUCUCUCUCCCUGUAUGUUUUUUGACGGCUGAUGAAGGGGAGAGGAAAG